GUCAUAUGCUUGUCUCAAAGAUUAAGCCAUGCAUGUCUCAGUACAAGCCAAAUUAAGGUGAAACCGCGAAAGGCUCAUUAAAUCAGUUAUGGUUCCUUAGAUCGUACCCACAAUUACUUGGAUAACUGUGGUAAUUCUAGAGCUAAUACAUGCAAACAGAGCUCCGACCGGAGACGGAAGGAGUGCUUUUAUUAGAUCAAAACCAAUCGGUGGCGGGUUCGCUCGUCAUCGUACAACUUGGUGACUCUGAAUAACUUUCCGCUGAUCGCACGGUCAUCGCACCGGCGACGCAUCUUUCAAAUGUCUGCCUUAUCAACUGUCGAUGGUAGGUUCUGCGCCUACCAUGGUUGUAACGGGUAACGGGGAAUCAGGGUUCGAUUCCGGAGAGGGAGCCUGAGAAACGGCUACCACAUCCAAGGAAGGCAGCAGGCGCGCAAAUUACCCACUCCCGGCACGGGGAGGUAGUGACGAAAAAUAACGAUACGGGACUCAUCCGAGGCCCCGUAAUCGGAAUGAGUACACUCUAAACCCUUUAACGAGGAUCAAUUGGAGGGCAAGUCUGGUGCCAGCAGCCGCGGUAAUUCCAGCUCCAAUAGCGUAUAUUAAAG
rnacentral:rRNA from 1 species